rnacentral:rRNA from 1 species
GACGAACGCUGGCGGCGUGCUUAACACAUGCAAGUCGAACGGAAAGGCCCUGCUUUUGUGGGGUGCUCGUUUGGCGCACGGGUGAGUAACACGUGAGUAACCUGCCCUUGUCUUUGGGAUAACUUCAGGAAACUGGGGCUCAUACCGGAUAGGAGCUCCUGCUGCACGGUGGGGGUUGGAAAGUUUCGGCGGUUGGGGAUGGACUCGCGGCUUAUCAGCUUGAUGGUGGGGUAGGGGAUUACCAAGGCUUUGAAGGGUAGCCGGCCUGAGAGGGGGACCGGCCACAUUGGGACUGAGAUACGGACCAGACGCGUACGGGAGGCAGCAGUGGGGAAUAUUGCAGAACGGGCGGAAGCCUGAUGCAGCAGCGCCGCGUGCGGGAUGACGUCCUUUGGGUGGUAAACCGCUGUCGCCUGUGACGAAGCGUGAGUGACGGUAAUGGAUAAAGAAGCACCGGCUAACUACGUG